CACCAGGUAGCCUAGUGGUUAAGGCUAAGGAUCGCCAAUCCAGAGACAGUGGGUUCGAUUCCCGUUCCGGUUG
rnacentral:tRNA from 1 species